rfam:Brassica napus, WGS project CCCW01000000 data, contig: 43982
GGUUCUAUGGUCUAGCGGUUAGGACAUAUGACUCUGAAUCCAGUAACCCGAGUUCAAUUCUCGGUAGAACCU